UUGUCCGGAUUUAUUGGGCGUAAAGAGCUCGUAGGCGGCUUGUCGCGUCGACUGUGAAAACCCGUGGCUCAACCAUGUGGUCUGCAGUCGAUACAGGCAGGCUAGAAUUCGGUAGGGGAGACUGGAAUUCCUGGUGUAGCGGUGAAAUGCGCAGAUAUCAGGAGGAACACCGGUGGCGAAGGCGGGUCUCUGGGCCGAUACUGACGCUGAGGAGCGAAAGCGUGGGGAGCGAACAGG
rnacentral:rRNA from 1 species